CCCGGUGACCAUACUAGAGGGGCCACACCCGUUCCCAUUCCGAAUACGGCCGUUAAGCCCUCUAAGGCCGAUGGUACUGCAAUCGCAAGGCUGUGGGAGAGUAGGUAGUUGCCGG
rnacentral:rRNA from 1 species